UACGAAGGGGGCUAGCGUUGUUCGGAAUUACUGGGCGUAAAGCGUGCGCAGGCGGCUUCUCAAGUCAGGGGUGAAAGCCCAGAGCUCAACUCUGGAAUUGCCUUUGAGACUGAGUGGCUUGAGUACGAGAGAGGUGAGUGGAAUUCCCAGUGUAGAGGUGAAAUUCGUAGAUAUUGGGAAGAACACCGGUGGCGAAAGCGGCGCACUGGACCAUAACUGACGCUGAGGCGCGAAAGCUAGGGGAGCAAACAGG
rnacentral:rRNA from 1 species